CUUGGGGUGCCCUACCCAGGGACAGGAGCUGGACUUGAUGAUCCUGAUGGGUCCCUUCCAACUCGGCAUAGUCUAUGAUUCUAUCACUAAAAUGCAAAUAACUAUCACAAUACUUCCUGGCAUGUAUUUUAAGCAUACAAAAUUAGACAAACAAUGUCCUCUGAACUUUUUGGAUUCAUCAACAUUUGCUCUAACUCUCGUAACUAUGAAUUUAACUUAAUUUUGAUUUCACUCUCUUGCAGCUGCAGAAUUUGGCCACAGAUUUUACCCUUAUAACCUCUAGCUAACCGGAUGCAUCCUGGCCACUUGAGUAAUGGAAAAGUCUCACCAGAGAAGAACCAUUUGCCUUCAACAAUCUUGAAGAGCAUAAUUUAUCUUUGGCCUUACAAAAGCAUAUUACACUGGAACUUUUGCACCAGCUAAGGCUAUACCUGAACUUUUAAUGUGGCUGUACUGUCUGGUUAAGAUCUUAUAGCCCAGUGCCUGAGGAUGGGCAGGACUUCCAAUAAGGUAGAGCUUUUUCUUAGAAAGUUUUGAAUAGCUAUGCUUCCUCACAUGGAUUUUUAAAGUUGCUGCUGGUCAUCCAAGAUAAUUUGAAUAUAAAAUAAUGUGAAAAGCCUCCUGCUCCCUAAGUGCUGAUGGGUUUGCAGGUUUUGUCAGCAGCUGGUAAGCCUCCUCCUAUGGUAAACAUUACAGUGAAUCAAAGAGAUCUGUAGUGUGUGCAAGUUGAACUCAAUGGAUGUAUGAGAAUUUAAAUACACUGUGAACCUGAGAGGUUCUCCAGCGUGCAGUCUUAUCUGCAGUGAGGUAAAUGAGAAUUUCACUAAUGAAAGGUAUGGUAACAAUCCUAACAGCCAUAGCUCAGAGCUCAGUCCUUGUGGAUUCACUUUUCAGCCACUGCCUGUUUUAAGACUCAAAGUCCUAAACUAUUCUAUCAAAGCCUUUAUUCAGUAAUACUACUGGAAAGACUUCUAUCCCACUUGAGCUUAAUGGCAGACAAUGAAAGUAUAGAGACCUAAUAAUAAGUAUUAAGAAUUUAAAAUAUAUUAUUAUUGAAUGAAGAAAUUCCAAAAUUGUUGUGUCUUGUAUUAUUAUCUGAAUGUUAAGUACAUUUUUUUAUUGAUUAGUCUUGCUGAUGAUAAACCUGGAUGAAUCUUUUGAUGUCUUCCAUUUCAUAACAAUUUAUUCACUUCCAGUGUUUCUAAUGCUCCCUCAUUGUGUCCUGUAACAAAUGCUGAAAAAGAGAAACUCUAGUCAGUUGUUGCCCAGCCUAAUACAGGCAGAUCAAGGAAGUGCACAGAAUAUGACAAUUAAUACAGUAAUCAGUAUGAUGAAUGAUGAUGACUGGGCUUUCUGCAAUUAUAAACCCAGUUUUGGGUUCUUUCAGUCUCACUCCAAAUUUUAUUUAAACUGAUGAGGCAAAGUUUAGAGGAUUUCCUAUUGAAAUCACAUGCUUGUCUUUAUUCUGCAAUGAUGGGCUGCAAGUGGCAGGAGAGGAGAUUUAAGGAAAUGUUCCAGUGGCACCACUCUCGCCGUCAGGCCUGGGGUGCUGCAGGAACAGUUUCUACUCUAAGUGACAUUUUCAACACAAGAAACAGAGCAGGAGAUUAAAAGGUGGGUGGAGUGGCUGCCAUUUAAAUGAGCCAGACUGUUUCUAACAUGAAAAGAGAUUCAGUCCAAGAAUUGGCCAGAGGGUCAACCAGUUUCUUGCCUUGCCUAAGACAGUAUUUCCAUAAUGAUUUUGGUCUGUGCAAAUGCUUACUACAAGUGUGGAGCAGGAGAGCCUACCCAAACUCCUAAAUUUGCUGAGGGCUUUGUGUUGGGCUAGAUAUUUUCUUCUUGCCUUAAACAUUGGACAUUAAACUUCUAGACAGUGUGUCUUAUCUGAAUUACAUCUGUAGUGAGUUUCUUUAACUUUUUGAUUUUCUAAUAAAUGUUCUUGUUUGUACAA